rnacentral:miRNA from 1 species
UGUGCAUCUCGUCUAGGCGCCA